ACUUCGGAACCGUUUUCCUGAUGGCCGGAGAGUGAAAAGUGUGUGUGCCGGGUGUGUGGGGUCGUCCACAAUGCUGUUGGCUUUGCAGAUGCAGCGUGUGGUGUAAAUGUGCAUAAUAGAGGAGAGUAAGAUUUGUUUGUCCUACUUUUAAUAUGUUACAUAGUGUUGAAGCUCUGGGGGUAAGGUGUUGGUUUACCUAUCAGCAGGUCCCCACAAGUUUGGAGGUUUAAGCAGCAACAUCGCCAAGGUAAAAUUUCUCUUUUGAAAUGUAAUAGUUUGUCUACUUUGUGACAUUAAACUGUACAUCUAUUUGUUAAUUAAAGAGACCUGUUUAAAAGAUUGCUUUAUUUCUUAGGUUUUUUUUUUUUUUUUAGAUUUGUUUGGCCUACGUUUAAUAUGAGUUAUAUGGUGUUGAAGUAUGGAAAAGAAGCCAUGUUAGGUCAUUAGGCCUAUUGACUGCCUGCUUAAGCGGGAAUUGGUAGCUCACUGUGUAAGUUGUUGGUUUACCGGUCAACAGGUGCCCACAAGGUCAGCGGUUCAAACCCCGGCAUCAACAAGUUAAACGUUUUAUUUCUCGCUUGAAAUCUAAUAGUUGUCUACUUUGUGACAAUAAACUGUACAUCUAUUUGUUAAAUAAAGAUACCUGUUUCAAAGAUUGCUUUAUUUCUUUGUCUUUUUUUGAAAGACUUGUUUGGCCUACGUUUAAUAUGAGUUACAUGGUGUUGAAGUCUGGAAAAGAAGCCAUGUUGGUUCAUUAGGCCUAUUGACUGCUUGCCUUCAUAUAUUGUUGGUAUAUUUGUCUUGGUAUUUUUGUUGUAGUAUAUUCGUCUUUAUAUUUGUCUUGGGAUAAUCGUCUUUUAUAUUGGUUUUGGUAUUUGUCUGUCUUGAUAUUUGUAUUUGAAUCAGGAUCUGCUUGGGUUUGUUUGUUGUUCUGUUUGGUGAGUGUCUUUAUAUUUUGGUCGAUUUCCUUGAGUCUCCUGUUUUCUCAAGUUUUCCGUAGUCUCCUGUUUUCUCUAGUCUACUGGCUUUUUCUGUUUUUCCGAUUAUUUUGUCUUCCCAUGUCUCCUGGUACCUCCUGUCUUCCAGAGUUUCCCUGUUCAUUGGUGUCUUCUGGCUUCCCGAGUCUCCUGGCUUUUCCUGUUCUCUCAAGUUUUUCCAAGUCUCCUGGUACAGUACCUCCUGUCUUCCCGAGUGUCUUUGUUCUGUCUUGACAUUACUUAGAUUUUAUUUAGUCUUUUUUUUUAUUAUUUUUGUGUUUAUUUUUGGUUCUCUUUUCUCAAGCUUGUUUGUUGGACUUAUUAUUUUUUAUUAAAAGAAAUCAUGCCUGCUGGAGUGUCUGCCACUCGCUCUAGCGACCUGACACCAUUAUAAUAACCACUACUCUGGGAAGAUGUUCCACUAGAUUUUGGAGUGUGGUUGUGGAGAUUUGUGCUCAUUUGGCUACAAGUGCUUAAGUGAAGUCAAGUACUGAUGUAGGGUGAGGAGGCCUGGGGUGCACUCAGUGUUCCAGUUAAUUUCGAAGGUAUUCAGUAGGUUUGAGGUUGGAGCUCUAUAGCAGGUCACUCCAGAUCUUUCACUUCAACCCAUUUAAAUCAUAUAUUUCCGGAUGAUAAGCACAGGCACAUUACCAUGCUGAAACAGUUUUGGUGUCAUGUGUCCCAAUACUUUUCUCCAUAUAAUGUAUCACUUGGCAGAAGAAAAUGUGUUUAACCCUUUAUAAACUGUUUGGGUCAAAUUUGAUAAACGACAGCAGUGAAACUUAAUUAAUUGUACACUGUAAAAAAUUAUUUUGGUGGGUGGUAAAUAUUACCCUUGCCAAUAGUGUACCAUAACGAGCUAGCUAAAAACACAUUUUCUCUUGUGCUAAUGUUAAAAAUGUGCUUUUUCCGCAUUAUUAAAGCGCUAAUGGUACUGCAAGAAGGCGAUUUCGAAACUUUUACCUGUGCUAUUAUAUUCUAAUCUAAGUUUUAUUAAGGUACCCGAAAGGUAGAUAGUAACAUAGCUAACUCAUAUAGCUAGCUGUGUGUGACUCCAUUAGCCAAUGUUUAGGCUAACUGAAAGUUUACCAGAAAGCACGUUUAAAUGUUAAAAUGUAAGUGUGGUGGGUAAGACAAAAAGUUUGGUGUUAAGCUUUAGCUACAGCAUUUAAAUUAUAAUUUUAAAGUUGUGCUUAGGAAAUGACGUUCGUCACGACAACAAAUGUUAUUUUCAUUUUAAAAAAAUAGCCAUAUGGAUAUAAAUGUCAGUUAUUUAAUGUCAUAGCAGAAAUCUAAAAAAUGUUUUAGAUUUCAACACUAUAGUGUAUUCAGCAAUUGUGCAUAAAUUAAGCCUACAAUUGUCCACUCCAUUAUACAAAAAUCCUGAGUAGGCUUAAUUUAUGCACAAUUGCUGAAUACACUAUAGUGUUGAAAUCUAAAACAUUGUUUUGUUUUGUUUUUUAUUUAAAAAAAAAUGCUUAGAAAUUAAAAAAUGCGUGUCAUUAAAAUGCAUCUCUUUACAGUCUCAUAGUAUUAAGAAUUAAAGGGAUGCAGUGCUCUCCUGCCUCAUUGAGUACCUAGGGGAGCCACAAGAAGAGCUCUUCCAAGACUCCCAGUUAAUCAUGAAAAAUGACCAGGAGGGCCAAACAGAACAAACUAUGAAGGUGCUUUUGAUCCAUAAUCCCAUGGCUGAGGACGAUCCAGUAGACAUAUCUAUUGUGAUAGAGGGCAUCCAAGUGAUCAGUGGGUGUGGAUACAAAACCAAGGCAUGCAUGUUGUUGAUAGGAUUAAUCUAUGGCCUCAACCUUGAAUAUCCCAAGAAGCUCAAGAAUACUUUUGAAGUAUUUCAAAAACUUAUUUUGGAGCUAGAUGGAGGCAAGUGUCUCAAGAAGGUUCACAGCCUCAAAAUUAAACUCAUGGAAUAGACUGCUUCUUGCCUUUUUUGUUGUUGUUAAUGUCAAAAUGUUUUGAAAUGUAUCUCUUUGUAUACAUAAAAAAUACAUCUAUUUAAGUAUUAGUGUCUCAGGAUACAGUAAUUGGUCAAUUUCAAAUAGAUGUUAUUUGGAUAAAUAGGCUUCCUAAGCGUCCCAAGUUUAAUUAAUGGACAAGUAGACACACUAUUUAAGCAAUGUUAGCCUAAUUUUUUUUAUUUGUAUUUUUAUAAUGCUGUUUGAAGGAAAAAACUCAAUUUCUUGUGAUCAAGAUUUGAAUAUGUUUUUGUUGAAUAUGCAAAGAAUCAUUUGUUUGAUUUUUGGUUGUUUAUUAAAAAAUUCAUGAUCUAC